rnacentral:rRNA from 1 species
UGUUUAGCGUAAAAGGCCAAUAAUCGGGAAGAACACCCGUGGGAGAGGGGUUUUUCGGGCGGUACUGCGGUGAAACGGGAAAGGGUGGGGGGGAACAGAUUAGAUACCCUGUAGUUCAACCCCGUAACGGUAACAACUAGGUUUGGGGGGUUUCAGUCCUUUCCGUCCGCAAGUUAACGCAUUAAUUUUUCCGCUGGGGGAGUACGGCCGCAAAGGNUGAAACUCAAAGAAAUGACGGGGGGCCCGCACAAGCGGUGGAGCAUGUGGUUCAAUUCGAUGCAGAGCGAAGAACCUUACCUGGGCUUGACAUGCAGGAAGUAGAAACCGGAAACGGGGACGACCUGUUAAGUCAGGAACCUGCACAGGUGGUGCAUGGCUGUCGUCAGCUCGUGCCGUGAGGUGUUGGGUUAAGUCCCGCAACGAGCGCAACCCUCACUCUAUGUUGCCAUCGGGUAAUGCCGGGCACUCUUAGGGAACUGCCGGCGAAGAGCUGGAGGAAGGGGGGGAUGACGUCAAGUCCGUAUGCCCCUUAUGUCCAGGGCUACACACAUGCUACAAUGGCCGAUACAGAGGGUUCCCAACCCGCGAGGGGGAGGCAAUCCCACAAAGUCGGUCUCAGUUCGGAUUGCAGGCUGCAACUCGCCUGCAUGAAGUCGGAAUCGCUAGUAAGCGCAGAUCAGCAGGCUGCGCUGAAUACGUUCCCGGGCCUUGUACACACCGCCCGUCACACCACGAAAGCCGGUUGUACCAGAAGUCGCUGAGCCAACCGCAAGGAGGCAGGCGCCGAAGGUAUGGUCGGUGAUUGGGGUGAAGUCGUAACAAGGUAAAUCGAAUUCCCGCGGCC